rnacentral:rRNA from 1 species
GAUGAACGCUGGCGGCGUGCCUAAUACAUGCAAGUCGAGCGAACAGACGAGGAGCUUGCUCCUCUGACGUUAGCGGCGGACGGGUGAGUAACACGUGGAUAACCUACCUAUAAGACUGGGAUAACUUCGGGAAACCGGAGCUAAUGCCGGAUAAUAUAUUGAACCGCAUGGUUCAAUAGUGAAAGACGGUUUUGCUGUCACUUAUAGAUGGAUCCGCGCCGCAUUAGCUAGUUGGUAAGGUAACGGCUUACCAAGGCAACGAUGCGUAGCCGACCUGAGAGGGUGAUCGGCCACACUGAAACUGAGACACGGUCCAGACUCCUACGGGAGGCAGCAGUAGGGAAUCUUCCGCAAUGGGCGAAAGCUUGACGGAGCAACGCCGCGUGAGUGAUGAAGGUCUUCGGAUCGUAAAACUCUGUUAUUAGGGAAGAACAAAUGUGUAAGUAACUAUGCACGUCUUGACGGUACCUAAUCAGAAAGCCACGGCUAACUACGUG